CGUCUCUCAGGGUGGCACCUGGAGAGUUUUUAGGACUCUACCGGUCCCGGCUACUGGAGGGAGAGUCAAGCAGAGGCCUGCCCAUUCCAUUCCUAGCUUGGCCGGUGGCUAGCGAGCGGAAGGCAAUUUGCCACAAUC